GUCUCGUGUGUUCUACUCACUGGCAUCCCUGCCUGGACUGGGAAAAAGUCAUCACCCUCUGCCCAAGCCCUGUGCAGCUUGGCCCACCUGAGCCUCUUGCUACUGAAAUGACUCUCCUUCCCUUAUAUCACCAGAAGAGAUGGGUCCACCUAGAGGAAGGAGCAAAACAGGAGUUAAACUGCAGAGCAUGAUCAAGAGUCGGUCUCACUCACCCUGAUUCGGGAAGUUGGAUUCCACCACUCUGUGGUUCAGGGGCUGGGUCCUGCGGUAAUCGUUGUGGAUGGUCUUGUUGCGGUGAUCCAGUAAGGAAUUCUCCAGCUUCCAAACCUGGGGGCAACGUCCGGAGAUUGACAGCACGGAAGGAGCACAGUGAUCUUCCAUCGAGUCAAUGUUUCCAAGAACUGUGAGCUCAGGAAAAGAUGAAGAGUGAUAAUAAAGAAGACUGUUCAACUAGACUUCACACCUUGUUUGGACAUCAACCUAUAACUUCAAAUACAGACACACAUGGGUAGUUUCUGCUUACCUCAACGAAGGCUGCCAGUACAGCCAAACCAUCCGGCGCAUCUUGGGCUAUAUCAUAGCUCUUGUAUUUAGAAUUGUAGUGAACAAUGUGAAUCUGUAAGAGCAAGGUAGAGUGGGUCAAGGGCAGUUCAUAGAAAUUCAAAUGCUUAAGAUUUCCAGGGAAGGAGGAAGAGAAAGAAAGGUGCUCCGUCUGAGGCCUCAGACUGUUCCACACAAGCAACUUGGACCUCCAUCUCUCUCCAUCUGGGCUGCAAUUCCUAUCUAUCAAGAGCAGAAACUUCCCCAAGAAUGGAAAGAGCAAGAGUGGGAUUCUGGAAGAUGGCAGUUCGAGGCCAUUUCCCGACCACACCUCCCUCCAGGCAGACAAGCUGGCAGAGUCUGAAGGGAUCACAUGAGGACAGUGGGUUCUCCUGGAGUGUCUGGGGGCUUUGCAGGGAGAGUGAGCUUGCGCCCCUUGUCCCAGGCAACCAUUGUUAACAUGUAGUC
rnacentral:lncRNA from 1 species